AUUUGUGAGAUCCCGGUGAAGUUGUACAUUACAGGAAAGAUGUACCAGCAAGAUUGUUAGAAAUUUUUUGUUGCUGCGUGUGAAGCUGCUGGCUGGCUCUGUGGAGUUACUAAGAGCUGUGAUCACCCUUGAUCCUCUUCUUCUCACAGAGAAAACAGCUUCCCACAUGCACAGGUCAAGAGACCCACUUUACAAGUGUCCUUUGAGUAAGUCACUGUUUGAGUGCAGGAAAAUUAAAACAUCGCUAACGUUCACUGCAUUUAGCAGACGCAUGCAGCAUGCAAAUGGGUUGCAUAUGCACUGUCAGUAGAUGCAUUUGUGUGUGGGAUUACUCGUGAGGUGCUUGCGAUUGACCGGUGUGUGGGACUGCUGUUGUGUGUGAGAUGGCGUUGGUUUCUCUGGAGAAGUGAAGCAACAUAUGUGCUCAAAAUAAAGAUUUGCAAAUUCAAAUGCAUGUUAAAUCAUAAUGUAUAAAUAAA